rnacentral:rRNA from 1 species
GGUAGUGGCGGACGGGUGAGUAACACGUAAGUAACCUGCCCGGAAGUGGGGAAUAACUAGCCGAAAGGCUGGCUAAUACCGCAUGUGAAGGCUUUUCCUCGGGAGAGUCUUGAAAGGUGUAAAUCGCUUCCGGAGGGGCUUGCGGUCGAUUAGCUUGUUGGUGGGGUAAUGGCCUACCAAGGCGACGAUCGAUAGCUGGUCUGAGAGGACGGUCAGCCACACGGGGACUGAGAUACGGCCCCG